UUAUCCCCCCUUCUUUCUGGUUCAUGGUAGGGAGGCUGUUGCUUGCGGUAAAGUCUAUGGAGAUUGCCAAACUUCGAAGUUAAACCUAUCAAUUGACUCUCCAGACCGGUACGCGGAAUCUUUAGGCGGCUUGAGAGAAGUUUUCGAUCGGGUUAAGUUAUUGUUAAUUAAAGCUCAUGAUAGAGGGGCGCGUUAUUAUAAUAGGGGUCGUCAGUCGGUUGAAUUUAGUGAGGGUGAGGUUGUUAUGAAAAGAACUUUUCCUUUGAGUGACGCUGGUAAAUUCUUUAUGGCUAAGCUUGCUCCUAAGUAUGCGAAGUGCCGAGUAAUUCGUAAACUCUCGAAUUUAGUAUACGAGUUAGAAGAUUUUUAUACGGGUAAAAAUUUGGGGUCCUGGCAUGCCCGGAAUCUUAAAAAGUUUGUUCCGUGAUCAAUUUAACUGGCUAUAAGCUGUCUAUCCACAGCGUGUGUUGGCAGUGCAGGGCGAAGUCCCUGAUUUCGCUCUGCAGGGACAGCAUUCCUGUGAAGAGUGUCAACCGGUAGUUCUGUGGCUCCUAAGCCGAACUAUCGGACACUACUAUUAAUUAUUUUCCCUGGUGAUAGACUGUUACCUCACAGUUAUUACCGUAGGUUAUUCAUUUAACCUAACUGGCUAUAUGCCAUAUUCCGUCGUAUACCCUGGACGCGCAGCCCGCAACUCAGGUCGCUCACUGCGCCGCCAAGAUAUAUAGCGAUGCGACGCAUUAGGAAGGAAGCUUCGAGCUUCUCCUACCUGCGUUAAGUUUUACUUAGGUUAAGCUCCCUCUUAAGGGAGGGUAGGAGUAAUUGUUAUAGUUUGUAUUUGAUAACUGGUUUACAGCCAACUGUGUUUAUCAUUUUAUAGUUUAGUGCGUGGGUUCGAUUUUGAUGGUUGUUUUUCCUUCUGCCUUACAUUGUGUAACUGUUCAUUUGGGAGCUGUUGAAACCUGCGGUUUGUUUUGCGAGCUGGGGACCAGCUCAAAAUUUUGCCGGACUCAAAAUUUUCUUCGGGAAGGGGAGCACUGUAACAACAAAAUGUAAUUUUUCUUCUUCAUUAUUAAAAAAGUAAGGCUCGCGUUAGUUCCGAACUCCUACAGCCAUCUAGCUAAGGAUUAGCGUACUAGCUAACGCGCGAUCGAACACUAUGGGUCGGAAUUGCCAGCUUCAAAUCCGGAAGAAACAUUGCGCUUCCCCGCAUUCCUGUGUUUUUUUCAUAGAACCUAUUUAAUUAUAGUGGUUUUUCUUUAACAUUAUGUUAUUUCUGCGCAGUUGUUUAGUUCUUUUUAAAUAAAACCGAAGGAACCGUAAACGAUCGUUUUGUCUGUGGAGUCAUGUAGUGUUUGCACGAGCCUAAUUCGGACUUGGCAACCCCGUCGGCCUAUCUGUCACUCAAGAUGUCGGAAAGGAAGGCAGAUCUUCUUUUUGUUCGAUUCGAGCCGGGAUCGGCUAUACCCUUUGAGAUCGGGCUCCAUCGCCCAUUUGACCCCGGCAUAACAUGCUAACCUUAAAUUUGUUGCUGCGUUGAAGAGCGAUACAUCGCGUGCCCCGGGUGUUGACAUAAGCUGCAUAAUUUCCAUGCAAGCCUUUUAUCCACCAACGGGGUUCACGGCGGGGCGCUAACUACCUGGCUAACUCGCGCGGUCUCCGACCACCUGCCUCAUGCACCGGUAACCCCAAAUAAUACCAGCGGUAGUGAGCUGUCGCUGACCUUUUGUAACCAUCCGUCCAGGCCUACACAGAACGUGGCGGCUGGGGUACAAUUCCCGAUGUUGGAGGUUAGACCCAUCCUUUAUUAACUAUAUGACAUUUGGACCAGAUCGACUGGCCCUGGCGCCCAUAUACAUCUCCUGUAUUUUCUAAAUUUAGUUCCUCGGAUCGCUGUUUCUACCAAAAUCUAAAUAAAAGAGUUCGUUAACCCCGAUUUGUUCCCUGAAGCUUUAGUUUAAAAAAAGAAUUAAUAAGUACUGUAGAGUCUGUGCAAUCUAUGCUAGCCGGUUAUUAUUAAGAAACUUGUCUUACUAUUAAGAAACCUUAUAGAUAUAUAAAUAUAGGAUUACCUCAACUGCAACUUCUUGCAGUAUUGUUGCCGGGUUCUUCCAACCUCAGUGAUUUCAAUAAAAGCUUAGUUACUGA